CACCAUUGAUGCAGAAGUGGGCCCCCGCCGACCCCUCCGCGCCCGCGCCCUCCCCCUCCCCGGGCCACGCGCCCUCCACCUCCAUCGACCGCAUCGUCCACCGCCUUCACAACCUCGGCCUCGGCACCGACGACGACGAGCCCUCCUCCUCCCCCAUCGUCGCCCCGCUCGACGACAGGGAGCGCCUCGGCGACCUGCUCGACCGCAGCUGGGCGCGCCCCGACCGCCAGUUCGCCGCCUCCGGCCUCGACGAGGCAGUCCUCCCGUGGAGAGGGACCGGGAGAGCGACGGUGAGGAGGCGGACGGGGUCAAGAGGAAGCGGGUCAGGGCGACCUCACUGGCGGAGCUCACCAUGGACGACGUGGAGCUGCGCCGCCUGCAGGGCAUGGGCAUGACUCUCAAGGACCGCAUCACCGUGCCCAAGGUCGGGGUCACGCAGGCCAUCACAGAGAAGAUCCACGACGCCUGGAGGAAGUCCGAGCUGGUCCACCUCAAGUUCCACGAGGACCUCGCCAACGACAUGAAGACUGCCCAUGAGCUUGUCGAGUUCCUUUCAGUCAGCUAAACGUCAAUAUGUUGGAUGAUGUUGUGGAGAGGGCCACCGAGAGGGGGUUUGCAUUGCCAAAGUCGAAGGUGGCCAUUGCCUUGACCUGCCUGGACCUCUUGACCUUUAACAACGCCCAAACAGGAAACACAUGUUGGAGGAGGAGACCACAAGCUAAUUGAUGAUUUGGAUGAGUGGAUAAGAGGACGACAUGAGCAGCUCAAGUCUCUCAACACGCAGAUGGAUGAUGUUGUGGAGAGGGCCAUCGGGAGGGGGUUUGCAUUGCCAAAGUUGAAGGUGGCCAUCGCCUUGACCUGCCUGGACCUCCUGACCUUUCACAACGCUCAAACAGGAAACACAUGUUGGAGGAGGAGACCACAAGCUAAUUGAUGAUUUGGAUGAGUGGAUCAGAGGAUGACAUGAGCAGAUGUGGAGAGGGUUCUCCUAGCGGUCAUUGAAACUGUGAUAUGCAUUUCCUUGCUCUCGGCUCUGAUCAAGUUUGUAGCGUCUGGGAAUGUGCACAUGAAAAUCCACAUGACCAUAGCGGACCAUUGUAAUGCGGCAAAUCAAAUUUCAAUACUCAACACUCUUCUAUGUGGAUUAACGAAGGGCAUGACGGAUGGCACUAGCGGAAAGGUGAGCACCGGUGGAGAUAAGCGAGAAAAGGAGUAGCGCGAGGCGGUAGGCAGCCUUGAAGAGGAUGAGUGGGCCCGCUGCUAGGGGAUGGUCCUAGGGAUUUUUGAAUCAACGAGAGCAGUGUCGGCCCAGGCUAUCUAGAAUGAUUGCAUGUAUUAAUGAAGUAGUCCACGUUAGGUGGAUUGGCUCAAAAUGGAGAAGCAUGAUUGUAUUAAGCAUUUAAGCUCUAAGCAAUUUAGAAUGUCAAUGUCUUGGGGCUCCCUUGCAAUAUUUCAGAGAACUAUAUUUUUUCCGACAUUUUAUAUUGCCUCACGAUGUUUGGGGGAUCUGAUUAGGUAUUGUUUCUCUAUAUAUCUAUCCAUCUCUCUAUUUUAGUUGCUAAUAGAAUAAUGAACAAUUGAUAGGACUAAUCUUAUAGACUUGUUUUCUCCUUAAUCCGACUGUGUAUUUUCCAAGUUUUG